rnacentral:rRNA from 1 species
GACGAACGCUGGCGGCGUGCCUAACACAUGCAAGUCGAACGCGAGAGGGGGCUUCGGCCCCGAUUGAGUGGCGAACGGGUGAGUAACGCGUGGGGUGACCGUACCUUCGAGUGGGGGAUAACGUCCCGAAAGGGACGCUAAUACCGGCAUAACAUACCUGCUUUUGAAUGGGUGGAGAUCAAAGCCGGGGAUCGCAAGACCUGGCGCUUGAUAGAGGGGCCCGCGUCUGAUUAGCUAGUUGGUGAGGUAACGGCCCACCAAGGCAACGAUCGGUAUCCGGCCUGAGAGGGCGGACGGACACACUGGGACUGAGACACGGCCCAGACUCCUACGGG